rnacentral:rRNA from 1 species
UACGAAGGGGGCUAGCGUUGCUCGGAAUCACUGGGCGUAAAGCGCACGUAGGCGGAUUGUUAAGUCGGGGGUGAAAUCCUGGAGCUCAACUCCAGAACUGCCUUUGAUACUGAGGAUCUCGAGUCCGGGAGAGGUGAGUGGAACUGCGAGUGUAGAGGUGAAAUUCGUAGAUAUUCGCAAGAACACCAGUGGCGAAGGCGGCUCACUGGCCCGGUACUGACGCUGAGGUGCGAAAGCGUGGGGAGCAAACAGG